rfam:Candidatus Doudnabacteria bacterium RIFCSPHIGHO2_01_FTLL_50_11 rifcsphigho2_01_scaffold_2699, whole genome shotgun sequence.
UUCAAUGAGAGUUUGAUCCUGGCUCAGGAUGAACGCUGGCGGCGUGCCUUAUACAUGCAAGUCAUACGGGUGUCGCAAGACACCAGUGGCGAACGGCUGAGUAACACGUGGGAACGUCCUUCAAGUUCGGAAUAACUCACCGAAAGGUGAGCUAAUACCGGAUGUGAUCGCAAGAUCAAAGCCGCAAGGCGCUUGAAGCACGGCCCGCGCACCAUCAGGUAGUUGGCGAGGUAAUAGCUCACCAAGCCUAUGACGGUUAGGGGACCCGAGAGGGUGUACCCCCAGACGGGGACUGCGACACGGCCCCGACUCCUACGGGAGGCAGCAGUAGGGAAUAUUGGACAAUGGGCGAAAGCCUGAUCCAGCGACGCCGCGUGGAGGAUGAAGGUCUUCGGAUUGUAAACUCCUUUUGCUCGUGAACAAUUUCUGAGCGUAGCGAGCGAAUAAGAGGUUGCUAACUCUGUGCCAGCAGCAGCGGUAAUACAGAGACCUCAAGCGUUAUCCGGAUUCAUUGGGCGUAAAGCGUUCCGAUAGGUGGUUUGGCAAGUUUUUCGUAAAAGCCCGCGGCUCAACCGCGGAAGUGCGGCAAAUACUGCCAGACUAGAGGGGCGAAGAGGUGCUUGGAACGAACGGAGUAGCAGUGAAAUGCGUUGAUAUCGUUCGGAACACCAAAAGCGAAGGCAGAGCACUGGGCGCCACCUGACACUGCUAGGACGAAAGCGUGGGGAGCGAAUGGGAUUAGAUAAAUCCCGUCACCGCGUUCCGGUUUUUUUGCCGGGACAAUAAAUAGUGACGAAGGGUGUCCCUCCCGACAGUAAUGUCGGGAUGCGCACUUGGCUAUAUCGGUGAACUCCAUGACAUAUGGGUUAACUACUGGCUCGUUAUGGACAAUACCGAGGGAAGUCGGUCAGAACUUUGUUCUGAAAUGACUAAUUACCUAAUUACUAAUUUCUAGAUUUAGAAAUUAGAUCAAUUAGAAAUUAGAAAUUACAGCCGGAGGCUGGCUUGAUCCCGUAGAGACUACACGCCGAGCUCGCCGAAGAGGCGAGAUGAUAUAGUCCGAUCCUCCCAGUAAUGGGAGUUGUAACCACCCAAGAAUCUUCGAUUCUUGGGGCCCGGUAGAGAAAUUCCGAGCCGACUUGUUCGGGAGGAAUUUCAACAACCUGGGAAAGUUGCACAGAAGAAAACCGUAGGUUGUCUUCUGAAUAUGACCCCAGUAGUCCACGCUGUAAACGAUGCUGACUUGUCAUAUGGGAGUGUCGACCCUCCUGUGUGGCGAAGCUAACGCGUUAAGUCAGCCGCCUGGGGAGUACGGUCGCAAGACUAAAACUCAAAGGAAUUGACGGGGACCCGCACAAGCGGUGGAGCAUGUGGUUCAAUUCGACGAUAAGCGAGGAACCUUACCAAGGUUUGACAUGCAGUUGCAUGCUGGAGAAAUUCAGCAGCCUUCGAGGGUAUUGCACAGAUGCUGCACGGUUGUCGUCAGCUCGUGUCGUGAGAUGUUGCCUUAAGUGGUAGAACGAGCGCAACCCCCAUUAUCCGUUAUAUCGUGUCGGAUAAAACUGCCAGCGUUCAAGCUGGAGGAAGGUGGGGAUGACGUCAAAUCAGCGUGGCUCUUACACCUUGGGCUACACACGUGCUACAAUGGGCAGGCUACAAAGGGACGCAAGAUCGCAAGAUGGAGCAAAUCCUGAAAACUGCCCCCAGUUCGGAUUGAGGGCUGCAACUCGCCCUCAUGAAGUUGGAAUCGCUAGUAACCGUGAAUCAGCCUCGUCACGGUGAAUACGUUCUCGGGUUUUGUACACACCGCCCGUCACGUCAUGGAAGCCGUUAGUACCCAAUACUCGCUCUUUGAGCGGAUUAAGGUAAGAACGGUGACUGGGACGAAGUCGUAACAAGGCAUCGGUAGCGGAAGCUGUCGAUGGAUCACCUCCUUU